CCGAGUUUUUUACUCAAAACCCUGCGAACCUACCGUCCGAUGCUUCGGCGACCAGCCCUGGGGGGGGCAUUACGCGGUCGCCGACAGCACUCAAAAUCUCUGUCAGAGGUCUUCUGAAUCACAAUAAAAACAAAUCA
rnacentral:misc_RNA from 1 species